CCGCCCUCUUCAAAUCAGCCUUGUCCUCGAGGUUGAUGAUUCAUGAAUUCUGGGAAUUUGAUCUUCAAGUCGUCAUAGUUCUCCCAAGUGGCAUCUUCUAUUGGUAGGUUCGCCCACUAUAUUAGUACUUCAUUAGUGGGUUGUCGUCGUCGAGUCACGAUCCGUCGAUCAAUAAUGGCACUUGGCUGGGUCUGGAGUUCUCUUUGGGUAGUCAUAUUUGGUGGGUGGCUUUGGGCUGUCUCCAAGCACCUAUUUAAAACUUUCGUCACAAGCACAAUGUGUCUCUUAUAGCAUAAUUCUUUUGAGUCCCGAUUGUAAUGAGCCACGAAGCUUGGUGCUUCCUCUAAUUUUUUUUUGAUCUUACUAGUCUCCGAAUCUUCCUGCCAUUCCAUCUUAAUAUCCUCAAGGAAGUCGCUGGUUGGAAGUAAAACGACCGAAAAUU
rnacentral:lncRNA from 1 species